rnacentral:rRNA from 1 species
UCAAAUCAUCAUGCCCCUUAUGCUUAGGGCUACACACGUGCUACAAUGGGUAGUACAGAGGGUUGCCAAGCCGUAAGGUGGAGCUAAUCCCUUAAAGCUACUCUCAGUUCGGAUUGUAGGCUGAAACUCGCCUACAUGAAGCUGGAGUUACUAGUAAUCGCAGAUCAGAAUGCUGCGGUGAAUGCGUUCCCGGGUCUUGUACACACCGCCCGUCACACCACGGGAGUUGGAGACGCCCGAAGCCGAUUAUCUAACCUUUUGGAAGAAGUCGUCGAAGGGGGAAUCAAUAACUGGGGUGAAGUCGUAACAAGGUAGCCGUAUCGGAAGGUGCGGCUGGAUCACCUCCUUUCUAAGGAGA